ensembl:misc_RNA 7SK 7SK RNA
AGAUGUUAAAUGCGAUCUGGCUGCAACAUCUGUCACCCCAUUGAUUACCAGGGUUGAUUCAGCUGAUCUGGCUGGCUAGGUGGUGUCCCCUUCCUCCCUCACCACUCCAUCUGCAUCCCUCCUGAAGCUGCAUGCUGGGUUGAAGAGGAAGACCUUCCCUGAUAGAGGAGGACAAUUCUUCAGUCAAGGGAAUACGAAUAGCUGCACUUCCCUGCUAAAACUUCCAAACAACCUUUCAAGAAAUGGCAAAGGGGGCUUGGCGCCUGUGGCUCAAGUGGCUAAGGUGCCAGCCACAUACACCUAAGGU